UACGUAGGUGGCAAGCGUUGUCCGGAUUUACUGGGCGUAAAGAGCGCGCAGGCGGUCGAUCAAGUCGCGUGUGAAAGCCCCCGGCUCAACUGGGGAGGGUCACGCGAUACUGAUCGACUCGAAGGCAGGAGAGGGUAGUGGAAUUCCCGGUGUAGUGGUGAAAUGCGUAGAUAUCGGGAGGAACACCAGUGGCGAAGGCGGCUUCCUGGACCGACACUGACGCUGAGGCGCGAAAGCUAGGGGAGCAAACGGG
rnacentral:rRNA from 1 species